rnacentral:sRNA from 2 species
AACUUCAUAAGGCUUAAUUUCCCAGAGGGAAAACGGGGGAACCAAUAUUGGGGUGAAUCGCUUCUUAGCGUAGAGCAUGUUUCAGCUCGAAUCCGUCAGCUAACCUCGUCAGCACUGAGACACAUGAA